UCCUGGCUCAGGAUGAACGCUAGCUACAGGCUUAACACAUGCAAGUCGAGGGGCAGCAUGAUCGAAGCUUGCUUGAUGAUGGCGACCGGCGCACGGGUGAGUAACGCGUAUCCAACCUCCCUAUAGUAGAGGAUAGCCCGGCGAAAGUCGGAUUAAUACUCUAUGUUUUCCAAUGCAGACAUCUAAAAUGGAACAAAGGUUUACCGCUAUAGGAUGGGGAUGCGUCUGAUUAGAUAGUAGGCGGGGUAACGGCCCACCUAGUCGACGAUCAGUAGGGGUUCUGAGAGGAAGGUCCCCCACAUUGGAACUGAGACACGGUCCAAACUCCUACGGGAGGCAGCAGUGAGGAAUAUUGGUCAAUGGGCGAGAGCCUGAACCAGCCAAGUAGCGUGCAAGGAUGACGGCCCUAUGGGUUGUAAACUGCUUUUAUAUAGGGAUAAAGUGAUCCACGUGUGGGUUUUUGUAGGUACUAUAUGAAUAAGGACCGGCUAAUUCCGUGCCAGCAGCAGC
rnacentral:rRNA from 1 species